AUACGGGGGGUGCAAGCGUUAAUCGGAAUUACUGGGCGUAAAGCGCGCGUAGGCGGUUUGCUCAGUCGGAUGUGAAAGCCCAGGGCUCAACCUUGGAACUGCAUACGAUACGGGCAAACUAGAGUGUGAGAGAGGAUAGUGGAAUUUCCGGUGUAGCGGUGAAAUGCGUAGAUAUCGGAAGGAACAUCAGUGGCGAAGGCGACUGUCUGGCUCAACACUGACGCUGAGGUGCGAAAGCGUGGGUAGCAAACAGGAUUAGAAACCCUAGUAGUCC
rnacentral:rRNA from 1 species